rnacentral:tRNA from 1 species
AGGGAUGUAGUUAAUUAUAACAUUUGAUUUGCAAUCGAAAAGUAUUGUCUCAAUCAUCCUUA